GCCGGAAAACUGAAAUCUGAAAUUCCCGAUCUGUGGAGGAGAAAAAAACGUAGUUUCCGGUGGUCUCUCUUGUUACUGAAUGCUUUUGAGCAAUUUGGAUUUCAUGAAAGGAUAUGGAAUCUUUGGUUUGUAUGAUUUGGAAUGGAAUUGAAUUCCAUUCUACAGAACAUUGGGCGGCUUUGUUCAGGUGGAUGCUGCAAUUGCCCCAAAGAUGUACCGAAAGCUGCCAGAUUCUACAAAGAAGAUCUUGUUUUCAGCAUAAACGUGUGUACUCUCAGGUGGGCCGAACUCGAACGCGGCCCUGUAAAGCUCGCGCUAAUGCAUUCUUCCAGGUUACUGCAAUGCGGUGUAUCGAUGGUCAUAUGUUGGGUCUUUACAAACCUGCAUAUUGCUGCAUUGUGUCCUGAAAAGAAGAAAAUGCAUUUCGUUUUGGUUUGAAAAGCAAGGAGAUCGUAAGUUCUCCUUUUCUUUUCUUGAGUUUCUAGUCGAAUACAUACACAUGCGCACAUAGUAGAUGAAGGCAUUUGAAUGGUUCCAAUAAUCUCCGACUUAUAUUUCAUCUGACCGACCCAAACCAUUCAGAGGUUGCUUUUUUCCUAGACUGCCCUUCGAUCCACGGCUCAUCUCACGCAUCUCUUCCUCAUAUCAUUGCAUCUCAUAUGCUACAUCUCGUGGUAUCUUUGUUUCCUCUAAAUUAUACAGAGCCUCUUAUUCAGAACAUUUUACCUACGAUGUUGAAUUUGAGACUCUCAAUUCAGAACAUUUA